GAGAAGCUUCCUCUGCAACCAAUCUCUUAUUGAUUAUUGAUUUGCAGAAUCUUUUUCAUUAUUCUCUUAGGUUGGCCUCUCCUCCUCCUCAAUGGAGAAAUCCUCCUCUCUUCUUUUCCUUUCAUAUCUCCUCCUCUCGCUUGCAACCUUUCAUGGAGAAUUCGUCUCUGCUGUUCGUAAGCAAGAUGGAUCUGAGCAUUGGGGCUAUGUUCAAGUUCGACCCAAGGCUCAUAUGUUUUGGUGGCUUUACCGGAGUCCGCAGAGGGUCGACAGUCCAUCAGAUCCGUGGCCAGUAGUACUUUGGUUGCAGGGCGGACCUGGAGCUUCGGGUGUCGGGAUUGGGAAUUUCGAAGAGAUUGGACCUUUGGAUGUGGAUUUGAAACCGCGGAAUUCUACGUGGUUGCAGAAAGCAGAUCUCUUGUUUGUGGAUAAUCCAGUCGGGACAGGAUUCAGUUUCGUGGAGGACGAAAGUCUGGUUGUGAAAACCGAUGAAGAGGCGGCAACUGAUUUAACUACAUUGUUGAAGGAGCUCUUCAACAAGAUUACGAGCCUCCAAAAGAGUCAUUUCUUCAUUGUGGCAGAGUCUUAUGGAGGCAAGUUCGCUGUCACGCUUGGAUUAUCAGUUGUAAAAGCCGUUGAGGAUGGACAAUUGAAACUUAACCUUGGAGGAGUUGUUUUGGGAGAUAGUUGGAUUUCUCCGGAAGAUUUUGUGUUCUCAUGGGGUCCUCUUCUCAAAGAUGUGUCACGACUCGACGAAAAUGGUGCAAGUGGUUCAAACAGCAUGGCUCAAAAAAUCCAGCAACAGAUUGAGAAAGGCCAAUACCAAGAUGCCACAAGAUUGUGGAGUGAUCUUGAGGGCUUCAUCAGUUCCAGUAGUAGCUCUGUGGAUUUCUAUAACUUCUUAUUGGACUCGGGGAACGAUCCUGUUUCGUUGUCAUCUGUUGGAUUAUCAGAUGGAAUGCCAAUGAAGUAUUCAAGUUAUCUAAGCUCGAGGGCUUCCUCAAAUGGUGAUCUUAGUAGUUUCAUGAAUGGCGUCAUCAGAGAGAAGCUAAGGAUUAUUCCUAAGGAUGUUAGCUGGGGAGGGCAGUCGGAUCUUGUUUUUACAGGUCUAGAAAAUGAUUUUAUGAAACCAAGGAUUAAUGAGGUUGAUGAGCUCCUAGCGAAAGGGGUAAAUGUCACUAUAUACAAUGGGCAGCUUGAUGUCAUAUGCGCAACCAAAGGAACAGAAGCAUGGGUCCAGAAGCUCAAGUGGGAAGGGCUAAAAAAUUUCACUCGCUUGGACCGAACCCCCCUCUACUGUGAGGGUGGAUCUGAAACAAAAGGAUUCAUGAGGUCAUACAAGAAUCUACACUUCUAUUGGAUUCUUGGGGCUGGUCAUUUUGUGGUGCUGUCUACUAUCCUUUCCCUCGUGAUGGUGCAGGGCCGUGCAGCUCAGUCGUAGUACGAAAGUCCGGGAUGAAAGGCAACUGUAGACGUGUACUAUGGAAUGAAAAAGGAUGCGAGUUCCUACCCCUUCAAUCCAGAGCUCUAUGGGGCCCAUCUGUUUGUGUCUAUGUGUACCGGUGGAUCAGCCCUGCAUAGCUCUAAAUAUGGUUGCUGAGAUCACCCAAUCCCCUCUUGCUUCCGCUUCCAAGUAAAGUACAGAGGAAGAAAUAAAUACAAUAAUUUACAUUAAAGCCAUCUUGAUGGCUAGAAGAGCAAAAUUCCUCUGAAUGUUCAGAUUUUCAUUCUUUACUUCUUGUUUCUUAUUUUUUCCCUUUUCUUUUUUUCCUUUCUUUUAAUUAAUUGUUUAAAUAUGAAAAAACAAGAAAAAUGAUAAUCCGUUUAAGAAUGGGUUGAUGGAUUUUGGCCGUCUAAAUAAAUAAAUUUAAAAGAAAAAGGAAAGAAAAGAAAAAACAAGGAACAUACAUCAUGCAUGUAUUUCUAAAGUG